rnacentral:snoRNA from 1 species
GUAGAGGUGAUGAUAUUAAAAAUAACUUUCGUUCUUCUGAGGCUCUCAGUGCGGAAAACAUGGAGACCUGAUCUGAUAUUCU